GAUUGUUGUUUUGUGUGUCUGCAGUCUGUCAGGCUGUCUGAUCACAGAGGAAGGCUGUACUUCUCUGGCCUCAGCUCUGAGCUCCAACCCCUCCCAUCUGAGAGAGCUGGACCUGAGCUACAAUCAUCCAGGAGACUCAGGAAUGAAGCUGCUGUUGGCUGGACUGAUGGAUCCAGGCUGGAGACUGGACACUCUCAGGGUGGAGCCUGCUGGAGUCCGAUGGUUGAGACCAGGUCUGAGGAAGUAUUCCUGUCAACUCACAAUCGACACAAACACAGUGAACACAAAGCUCCAACUGUCUGACAACAACAGGAAGGUGACACAUGUGGAGGAGGUUCAGUCAUAUCCUGAUCA